rnacentral:rRNA from 1 species
UACGUAGGGGGCGGGCGUUGUCCGGAAUUAUUGGGCGUAAAGAGCGUGUAGGCGGUUCGGUAAGUCUGCCGUGAAAACCUGGGGCUCAACCCUGGGCGUGCGGUGGAUACUGCCGGGCUAGAGGGUGGUAGAGGCGAGUGGAAUUCCCGGUGUAGCGGUAAAAUGCGCAGAUAUCGGGAGGAACACCAGUAGCGAAGGCGGCUCGCUGGGCCAUUCCUGACGCUGAGACGCGAAAGCUAGGGGAGCGAACAGG